CUCUGUCUCCGGCUCCUGGACCAACCUUCCAGAGUCCGGUAGCUGCACAGCCCCAGAUCAUCCGGCCACGGACUGAUCCGGGAGGCCAGAAAGCCGGCAAGACGGAAUUGCCCGUCUUGGACGGUGCCGGCAGCGGACCGUCUGGGCGUCGGUUUGUGUCACUGGCAACCAUCACUCGCACUUAAACCGGGCCCAGGUGCCCAUAGAAGGCAGAAAUGGUGGACACGGAUCGCUCUCAAGGAUGCUCCGCUCCGAGCCCGUCACCUAGGAUCAUCUGGGCUGUUUCUGCUGUCCGGGGACGCCGCCGUGGAAGCGAUUCGGCAGGGCGCUCGCCACCAACCGCUCUCCAAGUUUGUGCUGAAUGGAGGCAAAAGGUUGGCUUUUCGCUUGCGGGGUGGUGGAAGGAAGCAGAACUUUGAUGACACUUCUCGGUCGGCUCUUGGCGUGUCUGUGACUGCCUUCGCUGAGAGUUCCUACCAGGUGCCAACCAUACUGCAGCACAGGAAUGGGAACUCAGCAGCAAAGGAAGCAAACAAGGUAGACAGACACAUGGAGUUUACAUUUCAGCGAGGAGACAGCCAUAAACAAGCAAAGAAGUAAUUCUCUCCAGACAAGGAUUUGUACCAUUACAUGAAGAAACUACAACAAUAACCACAGGCCCCAUGACAUCAUUACAUAUAAGGACAGCAGCUAUCAGACAAAGAAACCCACAUUUGAACCAGUGACUGUGAGAAGUGGGAUUCAAACUGGUGUGUUUGUCCCCCUUGAAAAGCAGGAAGAGGAAGGCGCUGGAGUGGUUUCUUUCAAAAUAAUAACAGAGCUUUCGUGACUAUUUCUGUGAGUGAGGCAGGUGGUGGAACCACAGAGCUAAAUCCCUGGCUGAAAUUGACUUUAAAAAUAACUAGGAAAACUAUUGGUGGAGAGUUAUCAGUUUUCUGGAGGAGAGAAGACUUUUCUAAGGAUUAAAGGCAAAGAAGAGCAUCAGUGAAAAUGCUCACAGUCCCAUGAGAUGGGGCAGCCUGGGUCUCUGCAGGAGCCCAGCAGCAUCUUCUGAGUAGGCAGAGUCCCUGUGGAAAGCCUCUUCCUUCCCAGCCUGCUUCUUCAGCCCCUCUAGCCUCUGCUAUUCCUGGGGAAUCAAGAGAGAGCACUGACAACAGGAAGCAGCCUAGAGGAUUCCCAGGGACCAGGAGAAUAAAAGCCACUUACCUGGAGGAGCCUUAAAAGGUGCAGAACUGAGCUGGAUCCAUUUCAUUCCCG
rnacentral:lncRNA from 1 species